UCCGUCGGGGGCUCUCUUUUUCCGGCCUUAUUGGGCGUAAAGCGCGCGCAGGCGGUCUCUUAAGUCUGAUGUGAAAGCCCACGGCUCAACCGUGGAGGGUCAUUGGAAACUGGGGGACUUGAGGGCAGGAGAGGAGAGCGGAAUUCCACGUGUAGCGGUGAAAUGCGUAGAGAUGUGGAGGAACACCAGUGGCGAAGGCGGCUCUCUGGCCUGCACCUGACGCUGAGGCGCGAAAGCGUGGGGAGCAAACAGG
rnacentral:rRNA from 1 species